rnacentral:rRNA from 1 species
AUGCACGCUGGCGGUAUGCUUAACACAUGCAAGUCGCACGGACUCUUCGGAGUUAGUGGCGGACGGGUGAGUAACGCGUGAGAAUCUGGCUUUGGGUUCGGGACAACCACUGGAAACGGUGGCUAAUACCGGAUGUGCCGAGAGGUAAAAGAGAAAUUGCCUGAAGAUGGGCUCGCGUCUGAUUAGCUAGUUGGUGAGGUAAAGGCUCACCAAGGCAGCGAUCAGUAGCUGGUCUGAGAGGAUGACCAGCCACACUGGGACUGAGACACGGCCCAGACUCCUACGGGAGGCAGCAGUGGGGAAUUUUCCGCAAUGGGUGAAAGCCUGACGGAGCAAUACCGCGUGAGGGAAGAAGGCUCUUGGGUUGUAAACCUCUUUUCUUAGGGAAGAACAAAAUGACGGUACCUAAGGAAUCAGCAUCGGCUAACUCCGUG